GGGCACGCCGCGUGAGUGAUGAAGGUUUUCGGAUCGUAAAGCUCUGUUGUUAGGGAAGAACAAGUGCAAGAGUAACUGCUUGCACCUUGACGGUACCUAACCAGAAAGCCACGGCUAACUACGUGCCAGCAGCCGCGGUAAUACGUAGGUGGCAAGCGUUGUCCGGAAUUAUUGGGCGUAAAGGGCUCGCAGGCGGUUUCUUAAGUCUGAUGUGAAAGCCCCCGGCUCAACCGGGGAGGGUCAUUGGAAACUGGGAAACUUGAGUGCAGAAGAGGAGAGUGGAAUUCCACGUGUAGCGGUGAAAUGCGUAGAGAUGUGGAGGAACACCAGUGGCGAAGGCGACUCUCUGGUCUGUAACUGACGCUGAGGAGCGAAAGCGUGGGGAGCGAACAGGAUUAGAUACCCUGGUAGUCCACGCCGUAAACGAUGAGUGCUAAGUGUUAGGGGGUUUCCGCCCCUUAGUGCUGCAGCUAACGCAUUAAGCACUCCGCCUGGGGAGUACGGUCGCAAGACUGAAACUCAAAGGAAUUGACGGGGGCCCGCACAAGCGGUGGAGCAUGUGGUUUAAUUCGAAGCAACGCGAAGAACCUUACCAGGUCUUGACAUCCUCUGACAACCCUAGAGAUAGGGCUUUCCCUUCGGGGACAGAGUGACAGGUGGUGCAUGGUUGUCGUCAGCUCGUGUCGUGAGAUGUUGGGUUAAGUCCCGCAACGAGCGCAACCCUUGAUCUUAGUUGCCAGCAUUCAGUUGGGCACUCUAAGGUGACUGCCGGUGACAAACCGGAGGAAGGUGGGGAUGACGUCAAAUCAUCAUGCCCCUUAUGACCUGCGCUACACACGUGCUACAAUGGACAGAACAAAGGGCUGCGAGACCGCAAGGUUUAGCCAAUCCCACAAAUCUGUUCUCAGUUCGGAUCGCAGUCUGCAACUCGACUGCGUGAAGCUGGAAUCGCUAGUAAUCGCGGAUCAGCAUGCCGCGGUGAAUACGUUCCCGGCCCUUGUACACACCCGCCCGUCCCACCCACGAGAAGUUUGCAACACCCCGAG
rnacentral:rRNA from 1 species